GAUGAACGCUGGCGGCGUGCCUAAUACAUGCAAGUCGAGCGAACGGACGAGAAGCUUGCUUCUCUGAUGUUAGCGGCGGACGGGUGAGUAACACGUGGAUAACCUACCUAUAAGACUGGGAUAACUUCGGGAAACCGGAGCUAAUACCGGAUAAUAUUUUGAACCGCAUGGUUCAAAAGUGAAAGACGGUCUUGCUGUCACUUAUAGAUGGAUCCGCGCUGCAUUAGCUAGUUGGUAAGGUAACGGCUUACCAAGGCAACGAUGCAUAGCCGACCUGAGAGGGUGAUCGGCCACACUGGAACUGAGACACGGCCAGACUCCUACGGGAGGCAGCAGUAGGGAAUCUUCCGCAAUGGGCGAAAGCCUGACGGAGCAACGCCGCGUGAGUGAUGAAGGUCUUCGGAUCGUAAAACUCUGUUAUUAGGGAAGAACAUAUGUGUAAGUAACUGUGCACAUCUUGACGGUACCUAAUCAGAAAGCCACGGCUAACUACGUG
rnacentral:rRNA from 1 species